UUCCGGUUGAUCCUGCCGGAGGUUACUGCUAUCGAGGUUCGACUAAGCCAUGCGAGUCGAAUGUAGCAAUACAUGGCGAACUGCUCAGUAACACGUGGACAACCUGCCCUUAGGUUGGGUAUAAACCCGGGAAACUGGGUAUAAUACCCGAUAGGUCUCGAUUGCUGGAAUGCAUCGAGAUUUAAAGCUCCGGCGCCUAAGGAUGGGUCUGCGGCCUAUCAGGUAGUAGUGGGUGUAGCGUACCUACUAGCCUACGACGGGUACGGGUUGUGAGAGCAAGAGCCCGGAGAUGGAUUCUGAGACACGAAUCCAGGCCCUACGGGGUGCAGCAGGCGCGAAAACUUUACAAUGCUGGCAACAGCGAUAAGGGAACCUCGAGUGCCAGGUUACAAAUCUGGCUGUCGAGAUGCCUAAAAAGCAUUUCAUAGCAAGGGCCGGGCAAGACCGGUGCCAGCCGCCGCGGUAACACCGGCGGCUCGAGUGGUAACCGUUAUUAUUGGGUCUAAAGGGUCUGUAGCCGGCCGGAUAAGUCUCUUGAGAAAUCUGGCAGCUUAACUGUCAGGCUUUCAGGAGAUACUGUCUGGCUCGAGGCCGGGAGAGGUGAGAGGUACUUCAGGGGUAGGGGUGAAAUCUUGUAAUCCUUGAAGGACCACCAGUGGCGAAGGCGUCUCACCAGAACGGACCUGACGGCAAGGGACGAAAGCUAGGGGCACGAACCGGAUUAGAUACCCGGGUAGUCCUAGCCGUAAACGAUACUCGCUAGGUGUCGGCCACGGUGCGACCGUUGUCGGUGCCGUAGGGAAGCCGUGAAGCGAGCCACCUGGGAAGUACGGCCGCAAGGCUGAAACUUAAAGGAAUUGGCGGGGGAGCACCACAACGGGUGGAGCUUGCGGUUUAAUUGGAUUCAACGCCCGGA
rnacentral:rRNA from 1 species